UUUGAUGAUGAAAGGUAGUGAAGUUUGAUCUAUGCUUUGAGUGAAUAAGUAGAGUGGAUGGAGAAAAUGAUAGAGAAAAGAGUGGAGAAAUGGUGGACUAGUGGUGGUGUUAAUGGAGGUUUGGGAUUAGAGAUGGUGGUGGUGUAGGAGGAGAUGGAGUAGUUUGGGGGAGGAAAAGGAAGAAGAUGGGUUUUGAUUUUGGGAGAUGGAGAUGGAGGUUUGUGGUGGAGAUAGAGUGAAAAAGGUAGAGAAUGGGUGAAUGGGUGGAUGAUGGUUCAUCAAAAAGGUGACGGGGGAGUAAAAAAUAUAUGAAAGAGAAGCAAAAAGUGGGAGAGACAACACAAAAUCAUCUCCCCUCUCUUCCCAUCCGAUUCUUCCGAAAUGGAAGAGUGUUCACAUUGCCAAACUUUGCCAAAUCCAAGGCAUAAAAGUGAAAGGGAAAAGGUGAAAGAAAAAGGUAAUGAUGGAGAAAAAUGGUAGGAAAAAGAUGGUGUAACACAAAAACAUGGAGGGGUUUUUGUAGAAUUCAUGGAGGACUUUUUGGGCAAAAAGGAGGAGUGAUGAUUAUGGUGUGGGAAAGAGAGAAAUGUGAUGGAGUUGAGUUUCAACUAUAAGGUUGAGAAUUAGUUAAGAAUGAACAAUGUUACUCCACCUCUCCUCUACCAUGAAGGUGACCGAAAAAUGUAUGACACCACUGAUAGCCAAAAAGUCACCCUCAAGUAUAAGAGCCAAUUUAUAGUGUAGGGAUUAUGAGUAAGGGAUAUCGUACCCAAGGGAUUGGUAAACCCACUCUAGCUAGGAAUGUAACGCCCCGUACCCAAUUUUACCUAUUUACUGGGUAUUCUACGAGUUACUGAGGAAUUUAACCGUGCUCGGUAACUUAGUAAGUUAACACUCGAGUUUAUUUGCGAAUUCUUUUGGAAAUGUCAAAUUCUUCUUUUAAGGUCUCGGUGUCGUAGUUCGCGUCAACACGGGUUUUCCGGUAUUUUCGGUUUAUUUUUGGAGCUUUGAAGUAUUUUUCUAUGAUUUAUUGAAGGUUGGCAAAAAGAAAAUUUAUGUUAUGAAAUUAGAAAAUUUUGGUUUAAUCUUGGCCGUCGGAUCUUUAGGAUUUGAUCUCAACCAUUGGUUUGGGUAUAAAAGGAUAAGAGAGGAUUGACUUUGUCAAAGCCCAAUUCGGACGUUGACCGAGUUGCAAUCCAUCUCCUCUCUCUCUCGAGGUCUCUUGUGACGCACAUCUGAGUGGCGUCGUCCGGCCACCCCUGGUGCUGAGACCACCACCGAUCUCUUCCUCUCUUUCUUCUCUACAAGACCCAGUUCAUAGAUCAUCAUUUGCAACUUGAUUCGGUGGUAAUCGUGUCACAUCCCGGUUUUUAAGUCAAUUUGCGGUUAUUUACUUUUUGAUUACUUUGACAUUUUACUGUUUUAAGUAACCGUUUACUAUUUAAGACUCUAAAAGUUGACUUUUUCUUUCGUUUGGAAUUUGGGAAAACUUUCUUCAUGAAAGUUGUAGAGGACGUUAAUACGAGUUCGUAGACAUGCUAAACGUUAAAAUCGGAGUUAGCAUGAAAAAGUUAUUAGAUAAAAAGAGUAGACUUUGUUUGGUAAAGAGAGGUUAAUUGUUUUAGUAGGUAUUAUUUUUGGAGGUGUUUUAUUGUUGGAGUGGGAUUUUAAAUGGUGGACCGGGUCAAAAAUGGGGUCAAAAGGCCCAACUCAUUCUCUCUCUCUCUCNNNNNNNNNNNNNNNNNNNNACUACUACUCUCUCUCUCUCUCUCUCUCUCUCUCUCUCUCUCUCUCUCUCUCUCUCUCUCUCUCUCUCCCGAGCCAACCCCGACCCGUCGGAUUCCUCGGCUCCGACCGCCGCCCUCCGGCCACCAUAGACCGGCGCACCGAUCCUAAACAGUCGGCCGUCGACCCAGCCUUCUUCCUGGACCAGUGAGAGCUGCCCUAGCGCCACCUUGAGGGAGAGAGCUCGCCCGGAAACUCCGGCUGCGUGGUGGAGUCCCGACGCCGGAACUUGCUCCUCCGGCCACCAUUUCUAGUGAUUUCAGUUCCAUUGGGAAGUGCUCUCCGUGUGUAACAUUUCCCUAGAAGGUAAUGAUCCAAUUCGAAGUGUAUAGGAGGAUUUUCGGGCUAGGGUUUGAAUUGGGGGAUUUUUAGAUGUUUUGAUUCGAUUACCCUAGUUAGGCUUAGAAUUGGACUAAGUGCUAGUUAUGGAAGUUGUUGUGCGUGAUGAGAGGAUUAUUCUGUUAAAAUUUGGGAGGCAUUGGUCUCCGGCGGAGCAGGCGGCGGCGCCGCCACUUGGAGGUUGAUUUUCAGGUUUUUGGGUUUGUUAUAAUGAGAGGAGUUUAAUGAAAUAUAGUUUGGAAUUUUUGGAGGAGUUUUGAUAAGGUUUGGGAUUUUUAAAAGAUUAAGGAUUUUGCCGGUUAUUAGAAUGAAAAUCCGGCCGUUGAAUUUCCUUGGUAUUUAGCCUGGAAUGUUAGAAUUGAUGAUUUGAGGUUGUGGUGGAGUUUGAUGUGAAUCCGGUGAGUUUAACCCUAAUAAGAGUAGUGGGUUAAACGGAAGAGAGUUAAAUAUUUUUAUUCACGUAAUUAUUUUCCGGAAUUGAAGUUUGGUCCUAAGCAUGGUUGUUGUGCCAGGAUUCGAGGAGACCACGCUUGAAUGGUGAUUCGGAAUUCGUCAGGCUUAGGCCUAAAUCUGUGAGUGGACAUUUUGGUUUUUAAUUAAUAUGCAUGUAAGAUUUUAUAAAUUAGUAUUUCAUUUUCCAAGCAUAUAUUAUAACUUCGGCAUAUGAAAUGAUCUUGGAAAUUAUUUGAGAUUGAUGCAUGGAUUAAAUGUUGGUCAUAAUUUAUGGAUUUGAGCUCGGAUUGAUAAUUUGAGAUUUGAGUUUGGAUUUUCUUUAUGAUUUCCGGAUUUGAGAUUAUAUCCAGAUUUGCAUAUUGCCGGGUUUUCGAAAGGUGAAAGUUAUUUAAAUUAAUUAUUUCAUUGAGCAUUUUAACGUGUGGGACACGUCAUCAAAUUUAAUUAUUUUCUUUACUCAUUGAAUUCUUUGAGUACGAUAGAAAAUCGUACUUAUGCUUAAGUUAUGAGUUUCGGGGAAACUCACAUGGAUUUAUGUUUCUUUAUUUAUGCUAUACUUGUUGGAUCGUUAUUAUUCAUGUUAGCAUGUUGUUCCGCCUUUCGAGGCGAUGUAGCUUCCACGUUUUAAGUGGGGUUACUCAAGCCCUUUUCGCCUUCGGGUGAUGUGAUGUAAUCGACGACAUCACGCAAGUCCUGCACCUUCUCUGUUAUCAUGACAUGAAAGUGUAGGGAGUAUGGGAGUACUUUGCCUGGGAGGCAAUCGAGUCUGGGAGGCUCACUUGUAUGGUUAAAUCGGUUUAUUAUUUAUUGUUGUUUUGACUAGCGGGGCUAGUCCAUUGUUUUGGUAUUUUCUUCAAUGAAGGUUAGUAUUUAUCUUUGUCAAUAUUUUGACUAGCAGGGCUAGUCCAUUUCUUUGGGAUUUUCUUUAUGAAGGUUUUACCAACACUUGCAUGCAACAGAUUUCUUGAUUAUUGGAAAAUGGAAAGUAAUUAAGUUUGGUUAGUUAUGUUGCGAUAAGUUAUUUGUUUAAUUUUUCGUCCACUCACUCUAACGUUUUUAUAUUACUUUUCCCUGGGCCCUUCGGUUUCAAAUGCCCAGUGUGCAGGCUAAGUUUUAAAGGAGGUCGAGCGUACAUGGAGUUGAGGCAUAGUCAGAGGCUGCUUCCGCAUAUUCUUUAUUCGUUGUUUUUCGUUCAACUUUAGAUAUGCUCUGAAAGUCCAAUAGUAAAUUAUUAAUAGUCCUUAUUCUUGGUUGUGGGAUUAUUAGAGUUGAGUAAUUGUUAUAUUGGGAGAUGUGUUGAUCUUGGGGAGCAGGAAGGCUCCAGGUGUUGAGGCUGGUUUGUUUGGUUAUAGAAGUGUUAAGUUGGAUUUUUCAGGUAAGGGUUGUCCAUUUUCAAGGAAGGUUAUACCGAAUUUUCGGUAAAUUUUCCUUGAAGGUGGACCCCGCAGGAUUUACCUUGGGUUUCAGGGUGAAAUUCGGGGUGGGUCCUGUCAAAUCGAUUGAAGGGAGCUCGACUGUGUUCACCGGUUUCUAGCGUUUUCCGGCGAGUUCAUCGGACGCCAAUGGUAUGUCUCGGUUCACCUCUCUCUUCUCUUCAUCUCUGUGCCUUUGUUUCAUAAAAUCGGACCCUAAUCUGAAAAUCCCUUUCUUUCUCUUUUCUGGGUUUCGAGCUCCUAGCUUCGAGAACUACAUUCGGUAGUUCCGGCAAGUGUUUCGGGUUUUGGUGAGUCCUUGAAGCCUAGUGGGGAGUCCGGUGGGACCUUAGAGUGACUUGUGGAGCUGCGGUCGUCGAACUUGACCAAUGCAGAGGUUUGGUGUGUUUGGCAAGAGAGAACCUGAGGUGAUGUGGUGCUGUCUCGGUGGAGGUGGCGACUAAGGCAGCAGCUAGGGAUGUUUGGAAGUCCUGCAAGUUGAGUGUUGGCAAGGAGGAGCUCUUAGAUUCGUGUGUUGGAUGAGCAGAUGGUAAGGCUCAAUCUCUGACAUUGUGAAGCUACGGUGUUGUUGUUAUGUUGUGUUUGGUUGGUGUUUGAUUUAGCUAUUUGGUUGGUUGUCGAGAACUAGGUGAAUCGGAGUUAUGGGGAGGCUAUGGCCAUUUUCCGGCAGAAUAUUCCGGCAAAUUCCCGGAAUCCGGGGAAGGAUUCCGGUGAAGGCAGUUUUUCCGGCAGGAGCCUGUGAGGUAGUUUUCGAGGCCAUUUUUUCUAGUUCGUAUUGUAGUUCCUAAAAGGGAAAAUUCGGGUUGUAAUUGGAAGACUUGCUAAGUUAGGAAAGUUUCCAUUUUCCCUUUAUAGAAACUUCCCAUUUAUGGAAACCCUUUUUGGGUGCCCUUAAUAAUUUGGUGGUUUUCCAUAUUAAAGUGGUUCAUAUGUUUUGAGUUAACGAAAUUGUAUUAGUUUGAUUAAUAAAAAUCGAAGUCCACCAAAACGAAUUAUUAAGCGAAGCCUAAGUGUCUACCGGUCGGUUAAUCGGACGUAUAGAGGGAAUUGGAUCGAAUUGUUAAGUCAAAGGUUGAAUUCGAAAAACGUUGGGCAUUAGUUGGUCAAGCUUGGUCAACCCAAGAAACCCUAGUCAAACUAGGAAAGAAGACGAGACAUUUGGUUAUUUUAAAGUUCGGUCUGACCGAUUUGUCCUACAGCUUAUGGUCAGGCUUGGGAUUGACUCAAGGACUUGGAUAUUUGGAGCUAACGCUAGAGGAGUGUUACUAGCAAUGGAAAGCUUAAGCCUAAUAUUGUGAGUGGACACUUUGUUUUUAAGGAAUAUGCAUGCAUGAUUUAUUUUGGAAAUUAAUGUUCUAUUUACCGAGCUUAUAUUAUAAUUUUGAUUUAUGAUAUGGUCUUGAAUUUAUUUGAGUUUGAAGCAUUGAUUAAGUUGUAAUACCCCGGAAAUUUGAUAUUAGUUUCUAAUUUUAUUUAGGAAUUUUUGAGUUAGAAGUUAGUGUGUUUUGAAGUUCGAAGGAAGAGCGGAAGGGUUCGGAUGCGUAAAUUGCCUGAACCGGUUUUAUAGUUCUGAAGGGUCAAGAGUUGACUUUCUAAUUCAUUGGGUUUCUCAUGAAACUUCCUUCACGGAAGUUGUAGAGCACGACGAUACGAGUUCGUAGACACGUGGCACGCGUAAAACGGACUUCGUAUGAGAAAGUUAUGGUCAGCAGAAGUUGUGACUUUAUGGGAUUUUAGUAUAAAUAGGAAAAUGUGUGUGGGUAUUUUCAGAAAACCCUAAUUUUGCUUAGAGCCCCCGUGCAGCUUUCUCUCUCUUCCUCCCGACCCGCACGCACGACCCCAUCCUUGCCGGAGCAGAAGUCCACCGUCCGACCACCGCCUUGACUGCNNNN
rnacentral:lncRNA from 1 species